GAAGGCUUUCGGGUUGUAAACCCCUUUCAGCAGGGAAGAAGAGAAAGUGACGGUACUUGCAGAAGAAGCGCCGGCUAACUACGUGCCAGCAGCCGCGGUAACACGUAGGGCGCAAGCGUUGUCCGGAAUUAUUGGGCGUAAAGAGCUUGUAGGCGGUUUGUAGAGUCCGAUGUGAAAACUCGGGGCUUAACCCCGAACGUGCAGUGGAUACGGGCAGACUAGAGGUAGGUAGGGGAGAAUGGAAUUCCCGGUGUAGCGGUGAAAUGCGCAGAUAUCGGGAGGAACACCGGUGGCGAAGGCGGUUCUCUGGGCCUUACCUGACGCUGAGGAGCGAAAGCGUGGGGAGCAAACAGGAUUAGAUACCCUGGUAGUCCACGCCGUAAACGUUGGGCGCUAGGUGUGGGAUCCUUCCACGGAUUCCGUGCCGCAGCUAACGCAUUAAGCGCCCCGCCUGGGGAGUACGGCCGCAAGGCUAAAACUCAAAGGAAUUGACG
rnacentral:rRNA from 1 species